GGCAAAGGAUGUGCGUCCGCCCAGACAACCAGGAUGUUGGCUUAGAAGCAGCCAUCCAUUCAAAGAGUGCGUAACAGCUCACUGGUCGAGUGGACAUGCGCCGACAAUACACGGGGCUAAGCUGGACACCGAAGCGGCGGGAUUUUGAUUUACAGAAUCGGUAGGGGAGCUUCCCAUGGGCGGAGAAGCCGGAGGGCGACCGACGGUGGAGCGCAUGGGAGUGAGAAUGCUGGCAUGAGUAGCGAGAGACGAGAGAGUAACUCGUCCGCCGUGAACCCGAGGUUUCCUGGGCAAGGCUAAUCCUCCCAGGGUCAGUCGGGGGCUAAGGCGAGGCCGGAAGGCGUAGCCGACGCGCAGCAGGCAGACAUUCCUGCACCGCGCACGCGGCGCUACGACCGACGGGGCGACGGAUGGGGGUGGCUCGGCGGGGUUCUGGACGUCCCCGUGAUGGAGCGCGGCCCGCGGACCAGGGAAAUCCGGUCCGCACGAAGGGCGAGGCUCCGGACGAAGCACUUAAGCGAAGCGAGUGAGCCCGAGGUCCCUAGAAAAACCCCUAGGCAGGCGCGUGCGCGCCCGUACCGCAAACCGACACAGGUGGGUGGGUAGAACAUACCGAGGCGAUCGGGUCAACCAUGGUCAAGGAACUCGGCACAAUGGCCCCGUAACUUCGGGAGAAGGGGUGCCCGCGCGUACGUGAACCGGCUCGCCCGGGGAGCGGAGGCGGGCCGCAGUGGAGAGGCCCAAGCGACUGUUUACCAAAAACACAGGACUCUGCAGAAGCCGCAAGGCGACGUAUAGGGUCUGACGCCUGCCCGGUGCCGGAAGGUCACGCGGAGGAGUUAGCCGAUUCGGCGAAGCCCCGAAGCCAAGCCCCGGUAAACGGCGGCCGUAACUAUAACGGUCCUAAGGUAGCGAAAUUCCUUGUCGGGUAAGUUCCGACCUGCACGAAAGGCGCAACGACUUGGGCGCUGUCUCGACCAUGGACCCGGUGAAAUUGCACUGGUCGUGAAGAUGCGACUUACCCGCGGAAGGACGGAAAGACCCCGUGAACCUUCACUGCAGCUUGGCAUUGGCCGCUGGUCCCGCGUGUAGAGGAUAGGCAGGAGGCAUCGAUCCGGAGGCGCCAGCCCCCGGGGAGCCGCCCUUGGAAUACUGCCCUCGCGCGACCGGCGUCCUAACCCGAGGCCGUCAACCGGCUCGGGGACCGUGCCAGGCGGGCAGUUUGACUGGGGCGGUCGCCUCCUAAAGGGUAACGGAGGCGCGCGAAGGUCCGCUCGGGACGGUCGGCAACCGUCCUUUUGAAUGCAAGAGUACAAGCGGGCUUGACUGCGAGGCCCACAAGCCGAGCAGGUGCGAAAGCAGGCUCUAGUGAUCCGGCGGCCCCGAGUGGGUGGGCCGUCGCUCAACGGAUAAAAGGUACUCCGGGGAUAACAGGCUGAUCUUGCCC
rnacentral:rRNA from 1 species